UGAACAGCAGAGUAUACAGAGUCAGCAUGAAUGUGGAGGUCCCCUCUAAUGAGUACCAUCUUCCUGUCUCUGGCUGUGAAUUGACCGUCUACAAUAAAUUAUGUCCAGCCAAAACAGACCAAAGCGACCCCAACCUCAGCUAAAAACCACAGGAUGCUGCUGGGCCUAGUGCCUUGGAUAUUUACUGAGCCUCUUUCAGCCUGUUCAUAGAGAAACAGAUCAGAUAGAGCUUCAGUCAUCAGGAAGGAAAUUCAGUUUAAUCUAGAACUUGAUUGGAUAAAAACUCCCCUAAAAACUAUCAGACUUAAAACAUCUUUGUUCUAUCCUAGUCUAGGUCUUUGCAAAUGCAAGGUUCAGGUUGUUGUUGAAUCGUGGUCCAGACAACAAAAAUCUCUUGUCAGUUGUGGUCCAGAUCUGUGUUCAAUCAUGGUCCAGCCUUAAACAUCUUCGUUCAGUCGUGGUCCAAAAUGAAACAUCUUUGUAUAAUUAUGGUCCAGCUAUUUGUUUAAUUGUGGUCCGGCUCUGUGGUCGAUCAUAGUCCAAAUCUUUGCUCAGUCAGGGUCAAGAUCUUCUGCUAUUCAUGGUCCAGAUCUUUGUUUACUAGUGGUCCAGAGUUUUUGUUCAAUCUUGGUCCGGAUCCUUGUUUGAUCUUGGUCCAAAUCUUUGUACAGCUGUGAGCCAGAUCUUUUUGCAGUUGUGGUCCAGAUCUUUGUUCAGUCAUGGUCCAGACAAAAACAUCUUUGUUUAGUUGUGGUCCUAGAUAAAACACCUUUUUAAAAUUGUGGUCCAGAUGUUUUGUACAAGCUUGGUCUUUAGGAAUGAAUGGAAAGAGCAUUCAAACUUUAAAGCUCUAAAUGGACCUGUAUGCUACAGUUAUCAGAAAAUUUCUACAUACAUUGAGUACGAUCCUUACACUGGCUCUUUCACCAACUGCAGGACACUACUGGACACAAACACCAAUCUUUUAUAAAAGAGCUAUAGUUGUUAUAUAAUUGCUAAUUCAAAAGAAAAUCUACUUUUAAGGUAAAUGAUGUACACCCAGUAGGGGGCGCUUUAGCUUUGCCAGAAGGCUACUAUGGCCUGGUGAGGCAUUGCUUCAGAGUUACAGAGACAGGGACAGCCACUAGUUUGACUUUUUGAGAUUUAGUUACUGAAGAACUUUGUUUUUGCAAUGUUUUCUUUUGUUAUAAAAAGUGUUAAUAGCUACAGUAUAUUUAUAUGUUGCACCUUUUACUCGUGUUUUGUGAAUAUAUCUGUGUCUCACUUUGGGAGGCUAGCAAAAAUAAAAAAGCACCAUCAGAGCAAUCCUCCAACUAUGCCUGUGUUACAACAUUGUUUUGUUUUGUUAGGGUUUUUAGGAGAACCCCAUGACAGCAUUAUAAUUAUUAAUUUAUCCAGAAUUCCUUAUUUUCCUCCCAAAUAAAAGCAACUCUGUUGGUUGGU